rnacentral:lncRNA from 1 species
UCUUCACUCAGUGCCCUCCCAGCUCAGGGUUCUACACCUAUUUCAUCAACCCCGGGUUUAUCAGAGGCUAGGGGUUCCCUUCAGUCCUCUUCCUCAGCCCCGGGUAGUUGUUAUGAGUGUGGAGCAUUUGGCCACAUGAGGAGGUAGUGUCCUCGACUUCGCAGUGGUAUGUCUCAGUAGAGGGAUCAUCCCUCCUCUUGUAUUCCAUCUACUUCAGCACCAUCCCAGUCUAGUAGGGGUGGGGGUCAGUCAUCUAGAGGUUGCCCCAAGAGUGCGGAGUGAUCGAGCGGUGAUCAGGCUCGUUUCUAUGCACUACCAGAUAGGAGAGAUUAUGUUGCUUCCGACGCAGUGAUCACAUGUAUUAUCUCAGUUUGCCAUAGGGUUUCCUCAGUUUUAUUUGAUCCCGG